GGAUGGAUCAUGGAUCCCAAGGGGAGAGGUGUAGUCCUCCAGAGCUGCUGGAUCGUUCACGCGGGGAAGUGGUUCAACGAUGUGUCCCGUGGAGCCGCUGGAUCUGGUGCUCAACAAUGUCUCGCGCGUCACCGUCGGGGACGCUGCGCUUCCCUGUCGGAGGUUGAUCUCGCCUCGGCCACUAAGGCCCUGUUCGGUAAUCGACUGGCUCCCAGAAUCUACGGAGCUGGAAAACCGAGCUCUCGUAUUUUCAACUGUAGCUCCGUCAGCUCCGCUCCCGGAGCUGCGGAGCAGAGCGUCUCCGAACAGGCACUAAGUUAUCCUCUGAGAAACACAUAAUGUAUCCUUUAAGCACAGAUUGUGGGGACGACGAGUGCCUCAGGGUGAGAUUCGCUUCUUGCCUUCAAUCUCAUUGUCUUGCCUUUCCUUUCAGGUCGCAACAGUCUUGGAGCCGUGGACGCAGUCCAGGUCGCUGUCAAAUUCAAGUUCCAAGAGGCUUUUGUGCUGGGGC
rnacentral:lncRNA from 1 species